GUUUUCAAUUACAUGCAUCUACGAGCUCAAUGGACCCUAGAUCUCCGAAUGAGGCCUCCGGGCAUUACUGCAAUGUGGAGUGACGUCCUCCUUUGUACAAAUUUCAUCAAGGACAAGUGAAAGAACACCUAGAGAGCCUGGAUAUCUAUACGUCAGCAUGACUGGAUGAACUCCAUCCGAGAAUACUGAACAAACUAGCUGAAGUCAUCGCAGGACCACUGGCAAACCUCUUUGAGAGGUCCCAGAAGACUGGAAGAGGGCCAAUGUUGUGACUAUCUUCAAGAAGGGGAGGAGAGAGGACCCAGGGAACUACAGGCCAGUCAGCCUUGCCUCAAUCCCAGGAAAAAUCCUCGAAAAAUUUCUCAGGGAGUCCACAUGCGAUAAGCUAAUAGAAGGAAAAUUCGGAAGGACAGCCAACAUGGUUUUGUUGCAGCUUCCCUCUCUGCUCCCCCGGACAUGGAGGGGGAAUGUUGCUGCUGCCGCCAUCCACCACCCUGCGCCACUGCUCCACAUGCAG